CCAGCUCCAAUAGCGUAUAUUUAAGUUGUUGCAGUUAAAAGCUCGUAGUUGGAUUUUGGGUCGGGGGUACCGGUCCGGUGUUUCACUGUGCACUGGUCUCCCCUUCCUUUCUGCCGGGGACGGCGUUUGCUCUUUACUGAGCGGCGUCGGAGUCGGCGUUGUUACUUUGAAAAAAUUAGAGUGUUCAAAGCAAGCCAUCGCUCUGAAUACAUUAGCAUGGAAUAACAUGAUAGGACUCUGGUCUUAUUUUGUUGGUUUCCGAGACUGGAGUAAUGAUUAAGAGGGACAGUCGGGGGCAUCCGUAUUUCAUUGUCAGAGGUGAAAUUCUUGGAUUUAUGAAAGACGAACUUCUGCGAAAGCAUCUGCCAUGGAUGUUUUCAUCG
rnacentral:rRNA from 1 species